rnacentral:rRNA from 1 species
AACGAACGCUGGCGGCAUGCCUAACACAUGCAAGUCGAACGAGACCUUCGGGUCUAGUGGCGCACGGGUGCGUAACGCGUGGGAACCUGCCCUUAGGUUCGGAAUAACUCCCCGAAAGGGGUGCUAAUACCGGAUAAUGUCUUCGGACCAAAGAUUUAUCGCCUUUGGAUGGGCCCGCGUUGGAUUAGCUAGUUGGUAGGGUAAAAGCCUACCAAGGCGACGAUCCAUAGCUGGUCUGAGAGGAUGAUCAGCCACACUGGGACUGAGACACGGCCCAGACUCCUACGGGGGGCAGCAGUGGGGAAUAUUGGACGAUGGGCGAAAGCCUGAUCCAGCAAUGCCGCGUGAGUGAUGAAGGCCUUAGGGUUGUAAAGCUCUUUUACCCGGGAUGAUAAUGACAGUACCGGGAGAAUAAGCACCGGCUAACUCCGUG